UCUCUAUGUGUAUGUAUGUAUC
rnacentral:miRNA from 1 species